GACGAACGCUGGCGGCGUGCUUAACACAUGCAAGUCGAACGGAAAGGCCCUGCUUUUGUGGGGUGCUCGAGUGGCGAACGGGUGAGUAACACGUGAGUAACCUGCCCUUGACUUUGGGUUAACUUCAGGAAACUGGGGCUAAUACCGGAUAGGAGCUCCUGCUGCAUGGUGGGGGUUGGAAAGUUUCGGCGGUUGGGGAUGGACUCGCGGCUUAUCAGCUUGUUGGUGGGGUAGUGGCUUACCAAGGCCUUGACGGGUAGUCGGCCUGAGAGGGUGACCGGCCACAAUGGGACUGAGGUACGGCCCAGAGUCCUACUGGGGGCAGCAGUGGGGAGUAUUGCACAAUGGGCGGAAGCCUGAUGCAGCAACGCCGCGUGCGGGAUGACGGCCUUCGGGUUGUAAACCGCUUUCGCCUGUGACGAAGCGUGAGUGACGGUAAUGGGUAAAGAAGCACCGGCUAACUACGUG
rnacentral:rRNA from 1 species